AGCGUUGCGUGGUGGCCGUAAGGUGGCCAAUGAGGUUUAUGCGAAGCACGAUUAUUGCUAAUUGAAACCUUUUCCCAAUACCCCACCGUGACGACUUGCAAUAUAGUCGGCAUUGACAAUCUUUAACAGUCUCUACGGAGC
ensembl:snRNA U4 U4 spliceosomal RNA